rnacentral:rRNA from 1 species
UACGAAGGGGGCUAGCGUUGCUCGGAAUCACUGGGCGUAAAGCGCACGUAGGCGGUUUCCUAAGUCAGGGGUGAAAUCCUGGAGCUCAACUCCAGAACUGCCAUUGAAACUGUUUAGCUUGAGGACGAGAGAGGUGAGUGGAAUUCCCCGUGUAGAGGUGAAAUUCGUAGAUAUUGGGAAGAACACCGGUGGCGAAGGCGGCUCACUGGCUCGUAUCUGACGCUCAGGCGCGACAGCGUGGGGAUCAAACAGG